rnacentral:rRNA from 1 species
UACAGAGGUCUCAAGCGUUGUUCGGAUUCAUUGGGCGUAAAGGGUGUGUAGGUGGCGCGCUAAGUCGGGUGUGAAAUUUCGGAGCUUAACUCCGAAACUGCAUUCGAUACUGGCGUGCUUGAGGACUGGAGAGGAGACUGGAAUUCAUGGUGUAGCAGUGAAAUGCGUAGAGAUCAUGAGGAAGACCAGUGGCGAAGGCGGGUCUCUGGACAGUUCCUGACACUCAGAGACGAAAGCUAGGGGAGCAAAUGGG